UCCUGAGUCGAAAGAAAGGGAGCAGUUUUUUGCCACGGUCAAUCCUGUCCAGAAACAAGAAUUUGGACCGGCUUUAACCCCCCUGAUGUGGGCAUCAAUGAGGACAAACAUGAUACGUGAUUGUGGUAACAGUGUGCCCUGGCCAGGAUGUCACUCUGCCAGGUAAGGUUGCAGAUUUCCCCAUCAGUGUUGUAAAGUGGAGCAGACCUGACCUGGAGCCAGACUACGUCCUCUUAACCAUCGACGGACACCUGGAUCCAACCCAGCAGCAUCCAUCCUUUAAGGACAGAGUGGACCUAUUGGCCAGAGAUAUGAAGGAUGGGAACGUGUCUGUAAUUCUGAAGAAUGUGAGCAGCAACGACACUGGAACAUACGAGUGUUAUACCAGAUGAUUCAAGACGUAAAAAGAGAGCCAACAUCGACUCUGAGCCAAUCACGAUCAUCCGUCUGCAGGUUACAGAGCCAGGUCAGAGGAGCGCACACUUCACUCCAGACCUACACAUUGGAUUGGCUACAGCAGGUGCACUGCUUCUUUUAAUUAUUGUUGCAGUGCCUGUUGGCCUGAUAUAUAAAAGGUGUAUGGGCGACAGACCCUAACCACCUCCUGCUGCUGCUGAAAAAGGAGACUGGGGUUUAAAGGAGAUCAGACUUGUUGGUGAGUUUUGAAGCAGUGUGAGAGUCCCGAACAGGAAACAUCCCUGCCUCUAUCGCUGCCACAAGAAAAUUUUAAACCACCAAACACAAGCACUGAACUGCCCGGGAGUUUGUGGAACAACUGACUGUUUCCUCAGUCCCUCCGUCUCUUUUCUUUCUCUCUUUCUCAGGGAAAAUAAGCUGUCUUCAAGUGCACUUGCAAACACCUAGAUCUUUAAACCAUCUGACGGAAAACAGGAACUGUGAAAUAUAAAGUCAUUUAGUGCUAUGUUGGGGGGGGGGGUGAAAGAACAAAACAGUACGUCACACAAAUGAGCCGUUUCAGAGACACUCCUUCCGCCGCACCAGGCUGCGGAAAAUCACCGGAUCAUCUUCUUUGGUCUGAACGCAGCUUCAUUGUGAAAGAUAUGCAGCUGUUAAUCACUACUGAGCCUGUUUGUAACCUGUAGGCUACAGACGUGACUUCACCUGUUAUUUACCACAUAGUACGCUACUGUCCUGCUUUUUUUACAGACAGUAAGGAGUCACAGCGGUGUGCUGCGAGAGAGUGAACAGGGGAAACGCUGGAAUGGAUAUUUGGGCUUAUUUCAAAAGAACGUGGAACACUGAUGUAUGAAAUUGCCAAUUAGAUGAAUUUAAUUAUUAAUCAAAGAUGCCAGAACCACUUUAACCCCUGCCUGAAUGAUAAUUCUGUUUCAUCCUCUCAUUGAAGUGUCACGUUUGAUCACUGACCUAGAGUUAGUCACAAUUUGGCACGGGGAGGAAGGGCCCUCCCUAAUUUGCGAGGCCCUAUAUGCACCUUGGAUGGUACAGUAUGUGUAUAGGGCGGACCAGCUCCGCUGGGAUCUGUGUUGCCUCAACCCGUUCUCACGCCGAACUCGUAAAAUACGGAUGCUUGGACAGUGGAUGUCAGCGUCUGAAGCAUCGGAAAAAACGCCCUUCAGUGUGUUUGUAGAAUGUACUGGGGAGAGCAGCAGCUAUACGGGGUUUGGUGAGUAGUAUGUAACGCCGAAAUUCUGCACAGGCAGGUUGGUUUGGGGGGUGGUGAAUGGGUCAAACACAGAACUUUCACCCAGGAGACCGGGGAUCGUCUCCCGCAUGCCACCUUUCCUAAAGUCGCUUUCUUCUUUAACCAUGUCCCGUAAUCAGAGGCGACUCCAUUUAGAGUGUGGAGCAUCCAGUUUGAAAUUGGCGGGUCUUGCCUUUGCCAUCCUAGGAAAACACAAAUGUGUAAUCAGAGAAAACUACAUGGGCAGUAUUGAGAGUGUGGAGUAGCUCAAAGCACAUUUUAACUUUGCACCUCCCACACCUGAAACUGUUAACUUUAUAUAAACAGCUGUUGACAGGCAGAGUAGCUCUUCUGCUAGGCAACGGCUGCCCUCUUGUGACAGCUUGUGAAAGGAAACCUGUGCUCUUGGCUUGACCUACUGUACUGUCUCUCCCUCAGUGAAGGCUUUAGCUGUGAGUAACUGUUGUGAAACUCGUCGUAUGAAUGCAGAUAUUAAAACUGUUUUUACAGAAUCUUUGUAUGAAUGCAGAUAUUAAACGUGUUUACAGAAACUAGUGUAA